GAUGAACGCUGGCGGCGUGCCUAAUACAUGCAAGUCGAGCGAACAGACGAGGAGCUUGCUCCUCUGACGUUAGCGGCGGACGGGUGAGUAACACGUGGAUAACCUACCUAUAAGACUGGGAUAACUUCGGGAAACCGGAGCUAAUACCGGAUAAUAUAUUGAACCGCAUGGUUCAAUAGUGAAAGACGGUUUUGCUGUCACUUAUAGAUGGAUCCGCGCCGCAUUAGCUAGUUGGUAAGGUAACGGCUUACCAAGGCAACGAUGCGUAGCCGACCUGAGAGGGUGAUCGGCCAGACUGGAACUGAGACACGGUCCAGACUCCUACGGGAGGCAGCAGUAGGGAAUCUUCCGCAAUGGGCGAAAGCCUGACGGAGCAACGCCGCGUGAGUGAUGAAGGUCUUCGGAUCGUAAAACUCUGUUAUUAGGGAAGAACAAAUGUGUGAGUAACUAUGCACGUCUUGACGGUACCUAAUCAGAAAGCCACGGCUAACUACGUG
rnacentral:rRNA from 1 species